rnacentral:rRNA from 1 species
GCAUAUCAAUAAGCGGAGGAAAAAGAAACCAACAGGGAUUGCCUCAGUAACGGCGAGUGAAGCGGCAACAGCUCAAAUUUGAAAUCUGGCUCUUUCAGGGUCCGAGUUGUAAUUUGUAGAGGAUGUUUCGGGUGUGGCUCCGGUCUAAGUUCCUUGGAACAGGACGUCAUAGAGGGUGAGAAUCCCGUAUGUGACUGGUAGCCUAUGCUCAUGUGAAACUCCUUCGACGAGUCGAGUUGUUUGGGAAUGCAGCUCAAAAUGGGUGGUAAAUUUCAUCUAAAGCUAAAUAUUGGCCAGAGACCGAUAGCGCACAAGUAGAGUGAUCGAAAGAUGAAAAGCACUUUGGAAAGAGAGUUAAACAGUACGUGAAAUUGUUGAAAGGGAAGCGCUUGCAACCAGACUUGCAUGUAGCUGAUCAACCGGUGUUCUCACCGGUGCACUCAGUUACGUUCAGGCCAGCAUCGGUUUCGACGGUUGGAUAAAGGCCUUGGGAAUGUAGCUCCUCUCGGGGAGUGUUAUAGCCCAGGGUGCAAUGCAGCCUGUUGGGACCGAGGACCGCGCUUCGGCUAGGAUGCUGGCGUAAUGGUUGUAAGCGACCCGUCUUGAAACACGGACCAAGGAGUCUAACAUCUAUGCGAGUGUUUGGGUGUCAAACCCAUACGCGUAAUGAAAGUGAACGGAGGUGAGAACCCUUAAGGGUGCAUCAUCGACCGAUCCUGAUGUCUUCGGAUGGAUUUGAGUAAGAGCAUAGCUGUUGGGACCCGAAAGAUGGUGAACUAUGCCUGAAUAGGGUGAAGCCAGAGGGAAACUCUGGUGGAGGCUCGCAGCGGGUUCUGACGUGCAAAUCGAUCGUCAAAUUUGGGUAUAGGGGCGAAAGACUAAAUCGAACUAUCUAGUAGCUGGGUUCUGCGAG